GACAGAGGGUGCAACCGUUGCUCGGAGUUACUGGGCGUAAAGCGCGUGUAGGCGGUCACGCAAGUCAGGUGUGAAAGCCCAGGGCUCAACCCUGGAAGUGCACAUGAUACUACGUGGCUGGAGUACUGAAGAGGAGAGCGGAAUUCCCGGUGUAGAGGUGAAAUUCGUAGAUAUCGGGAGGAACACCAGUGGCGAAGGCGGCUCUCUGGGCAGAUACUGACGCUGAGACGCGAAAGCGUGGGUAGCAAACAGG
rnacentral:rRNA from 1 species